AUCAUUCCAAUAAACUGGACAAUUUACCUUCUUCCAGGUUCAGAGAUGGUAGGUAAAGCAAGUCUUUGUAAAGGCUCCAUUUCCAGCUUGCUCACUAACAGCUGAUUGGAAGAUACCCUGCAAUAAGC
ensembl:snoRNA